GGCACCGUGGCUGAGUUGGUUAAAGCGCCUGUCUAAUAAACAGCGCGGGCAGGGGUUCAAUUCCCAGCGGUGCCU